UGAUUCCAGCAGGAGCCCAACGUGUGCUCGCAGUCAGAGCAGCUCUGGUAUGAUGUUAAAACACCAGCGGCCUGGCCCUGCCAGGGCUCACCUCCCACCAGGAUAGAUCCCAAGCUUGCUCCCACUGAGGUUGAUUGAAGUCCCAUUGUCUCCAGUGGGUACAGGACUGCAACGGAGAUCCUCAAUGGGUGUAAAUUGCCAUAACUCCAUUGGCUUCAAUAAAACAACAUUUUACACAAGUAGAGACUAUUUGUUUGAUGUGCCAAGUUACACAUGACUGUUUGACGUGCCAAGAUUUUGACUAAAAUAAUUGUAACCUUCUUCCAGUGUUCUGGCUUUUGAGUGACGAUUAGGAGCCAGAUCUUGUAGUGCUGAGGUAGUCAAAACUCCUGUUUAAGGCCCCAACCCUGCAAAUACUUAGGCUUGUGGUUAACUCCAGUCAUGUCAGUAAAUCUCACUCACUUCUAGUGCUUAAAGUUAAGCAUAUUUUUGUUUGAAGGUUCUGUGGCUUAGUCAGUAGGAGUUAUGACUGUCCAAGGACUGCAGGAGUAGGCCCCAAGGGAUUAUUAUAGAUACUGGGAUGCAGUGUAGGGGGAAAAAAUUAUCUCUUAAUUGAAACAAUAAAAAAAAUAAGAAAGAGCUUCCUAUUUCUUCAGUCUUAAAGAAGGUGGAAAUUGUGAGAGUUUGGUUCAUGGGAUAAGUGACAUAAUUCAUGAUAGACUAUAACUAUGUGGCUUUGGUCUUUUUUUAUAAGACAUUUGUUCUUAGGUAAUUUUUAAUUUUCUAGUUCUAGGCAUUUAUUAUUUUUGAUCAUACCACUUGUAGGGAUAUAUUUCUAUUUCUCUUACAUUGACACUCCCUCUCAGUUGCUCUCACUUCUUCUGCUGAGAGAGCUAUUGCUUUUGCUCUCCCAUUUUACAGAAAGAUCUGGUUCAAUAUACUGUCGAUAUAAAACACAGGGAGCUAAACCAAGGGUGAGAUAUAUAGAAGACGUGAUGUUGCAUUAUGAUUGUAGCGAAAACAAAAAUUAAGUUACAUUUCUGUCCAAAAUGGGGGGAUUUAUAUUUAAAAGUAACUAAUAAAAAUCAAAAGCACUAAUAUUUUUUUAUUUCUGUGCCAGUCGUGUCAUCCUUAGACAAUCCCAUAAAAUAAAUAUUUGGUCACGAAGAGAGCAAUGUCAACAGCUACUUAAGUGAAAUUUAAUUUUAGGAUGGAGAUAUGGGUUAAUUUCCAUAGAGGACAGCCUGGUAACAUUUUGAAAAAUGGUUGGUGGGGCAAAAUAAGAAGGAACAAGGUGGAAUAAGAAAAGAAGAAAAGAGGAGGAAAAAGGAAAGGUUUGGGAUGGGAAAAGAAGAGGAAAUAUGUAGGGUAAUAAGAAAUUAAAAUGUUAGGUCUAUGUACUUUAAAAAAAAAAAAAAAGGAACUUUGCAAAACAAGGCUAAAGUGGCAUCCUGUGUCUUAUGCUUACCUUCAUUCUCCAUUCAAACUCUACUGUCAUAAUAUUACCAAAAACCCCCGAGUUGCAGCUCUGGAGCUCUUGCGGUCCUCCCUUUCUGUUUGUUUUUAUAAAAUAUUUUGCAGUUUUAUUCAGGAUUUGAAGCAGCAGAGCAAAUAUUUACUCAAAGGUAUAUUGUUCAGUUCUUUAGUAAAACAGCUGGUGCUAAUACUCUCUUUUGGGUGGCAACAACCUUAAUGCCACCUUAAAGUUUUGUUGUAAGUAAAUUGAAAGUAUAUUU